UCAGGCCUAACACAUGCAAGUCGAGCGCCCGGAUUUAUCCGGGAGCGGCGCACGGGUGAGUAACGCGUGGGAACAUGCCCUGAAGUACGGAACAACCUGGGGAAACCUUGGCUAAUACCGUAUACGCCCUGAGGGGGAAAGAUUUAUCGCUUUGGGAUUGGCCCGCGUUGGAUUAGCUAGUUGGUGUGGUAACGGCGCACCAAGGCGACGAUCCAUAACUGGUCUGAGAGGAUGACCAGUCACACUGGGACUGAGACACGGCCCAGACUCCUACGGGAGGCAGCAGUGGGGAAUAU
rnacentral:rRNA from 1 species